rnacentral:rRNA from 1 species
GAUGAACGCUAGCGGCAGGCCUAAUACAUGCAAGUCGAACGGUAAGUAUUUUAGCAAUAGAAUACGAGAGUGACGUACGGGUGCGUAACACGUAUGCAACCUACCCUUUACAGGAGGAUAGCUCGGGGAAACUCGAAUUAACCCUCCAUGAGAUCACAGUGUGGCAUCACACAGUGAUUAAAACUCCGGUGGUAAAGGAUGGGCAUGCGUCUGAUUAGUUAGUUGGCGGGGUAACGGCCCACCAAGACGAUGAUCAGUAGGGGAACUGAGAGGUUGAUCCCCCACACUGGCACUGAGAUACGGGCCAGACUCCUACGGGAGGCAGCAGUAGGGAAUAUUGGUCAAUGGAUGGAAGUCUGAACCAGCCAUGCCGCGUGCAGGAAGAAGGCCUUCUGGGUUGUAAACUGCUUUUGCCAGGGGAUAAAAAGACCAUGCGCGGUUAAUUGAAGGUACCUGGUGAAUAAGCCACGGCUAACUACGUGCCAGCAGCCGCGGUAAUAC